GAGUUUGAUCCUGGCUCAGAACGAACGCUGGCGGCGUGCUUAACACAUGCAAGUCGAGUGCGCGUUACCGUAGCAAUACGGUGAUGGCGCACGGCGCACGGGUGCGUAACACGUGGGCAAUCUGCCCUUCGAUGGGGAAUAACUUCGGGAAACCGAAGCUAAUUCCGCAUAACAUUCCGAGGACUAAGGUUCUUGGAUUCAAAGCCGUAAGGCGUCGAAGGAGGAGCCCGCGCACGAUUAGCUAGUUGGUGAGGUAACGGCUCACCAAGGCUUUGAUCGUUAGCUGGUCUGAGAGGAUGGCCAGCCACACUGGAACUGAGACACGGUCCAGACUCCUACGGGAGGCAGCAGUGGGGAAUCUUGCACAAUGGGCGAAAGCCUGAUGCAGCGACGCCGCGUGGGGGAUGAAGCAUUUCGGUGUGUAAACCCCUUUCGACCGGGAAGAAUGCCUCGCAAGAGGAGUGACGGUACCGGUAUAAGAAGCCCCGGCUAACUACGUGCCAGCAGCCGCGGUAAUACGUAGGGGGCCAGCGUUGUUCGGAAUUACUGGGCGUAAAGGGUUCGUAGGCGGUGCGGCAAGUUGG
rnacentral:rRNA from 1 species